rnacentral:misc_RNA from 1 species
AGCAGCCGCGGUAAUUCCAGCUCCAAUAGCGUAUAUUAAAGUUGUUGCAGUUAAAAAGCUCGUAGUUGAAUUUCGGGAUCAAGUCGUCGGUCGUGCUCAGGUACGUACUGGCGUCAUUGAUUUCUCCCUUCUGACGAACCAUGAUGUCAUUAAUUUGGUGUCAUGGGAAAUCAGGACUGUUACUUUGAAAAAUUAGAGUGUUUAAAGCAGGCUCACGCUUGAAUACAUUAGCAUGGAAUAAUGAAAUAGGACGUUCGAUCCUAUUUUGUUGGUUUUUAGGAUCAACGUAAUGAUUAAUAGGGAUAGUUGGGGGCAUUAGUAUUCAAUUGUCAGAGGUGAAAUUCUUGGAUUUAUUGAAGACUAACUACUGCGAAAGCAUUUGCCAAGGAUGUUUUCAUUAAUCAAGAACGAAAGUUAGGGGAUCGAAGACGAUCAGAUACCGUCGUAGUCUUAACCAUAAACUAUGCCGACUAGGG